rnacentral:rRNA from 1 species
UUUGAUUAUGGCUCAGGAUGAACGCUAGCUACAGGCUUAACACAUGCAAGUCGAGGGGCAGCGGGAUUGAAGCUUGCUUCAACUGCCGGCGACCGGCGCACGGGUGAGUAACGCGUAUCCAACCUUCCGUACACUCAGGGAUAGCCUUUCGAAAGAAAGAUUAAUACCUGAUGGUAUGAUGAGAUUGCAUGGUAUCAUCAUUAAAGAUUUAUCGGUGUACGAUGGGGAUGCGUUCCAUUAGGUAGUAGGCGGGGUAACGGCCCACCUAGCCAACGAUGGAUAGGGGUUCUGAGAGGAAGGUCCCCCACAUUGGAACUGAGACACGGUCCAAACUCCUACGGGAGGCAGCAGUGAGGAAUAUUGGUCAAUGGACGAGAGUCUGAACCAGCCAAGUAGCGUGAAGGAUGAAGGUCCUACGGAUUGUAAACUUCUUUUAUAAGGGAAUAAACCCUCCCACGUGUGGGAGCUUGUAUGUACCUUAUGAAUGAGCAUCGGCUAACUCCGUGCCAGCAGCCGCGGUAAUACGGAGGAUGCGAGCGUUAUCCGGAUUUAUUGGGUUUAAAGGGAGCGCAGACGGGUCGUUAAGUCAGCUGUGAAAGUUUGGGGCUCAACCUUAAAAUUGCAGUUGAUACUGGCGUCCUUGAGUGCGGUUGAGGUGUGCGGAAUUCGUGGUGUAGCGGUGAAAUGCUUAGAUAUCACGAAGAACUCCGAUUGCGAAGGCAGCACACUAAUCCGUAACUGACGUUCAUGCUCGAAAGUGUGGGUAUCAAACAGGAUUAGAUACCCUGGUAGUCCACACGGUAAACGAUGGAUACUCGCUGUUGGCGAUAUACUGUCAGCGGCUUAGCGAAAGCGUUAAGUAUCCCACCUGGGGAGUACGCCGGCAAC